rnacentral:rRNA from 1 species
AUACGUAGGUGACAAGCGUUAUCCGGAUUUACUGGGCGUAAAGGGCGUGUAGGCGGUCUUGCAAGUCAGAAGUGAAAUUCCUGAGCUCAACUCGGGCGCUGCUUCUGAAACUGCAGGACUUGAGUGCUGGAGGGGAUAGCGGAAUUCCUAGUGGAGCGGUAAAAUGCGCAGAUAUUAGGAAGAACACCGGUGGCGAAGGCGGCUAUCUGGACAGUAACUGACGCUGAGGCGCGAAAGCGUGGGGAGCAAACAGGAUUAGAUACCCUGGUAGGCCACGCUGUAAACGAUGAAUACUAGGUGUAGGGGGUAUCGACUCCCUCUGUGCCGCAGUUAACACAAUAAGUAUUCCGCCUGGGGAGUACGGCCGCAAGGUUGAAACUCAAAUGAAUUGACGGGG